rnacentral:rRNA from 1 species
UGCCAGCAGCCGCGGUAAUACAGAGGGUGCAAACGUUGCUCGGAAUAACUGGGCGUAAAGCGCGUGUAGGCGGCCUGCUAAGUCGACUGUGAAAGCCCACGGCUCAACCGUGGAAGUGCAGCCGAAACUAGCAGGCUAGAGUCCUGGAGAGGGUGGCGGAAUUCCCAGUGUAGAGGUGAAAUUCGUAGAUAUUGGGAGGAACACCGGUGGCGAAGGCGGCCACCUGGACGGGUACUGACGCUCAGGGUCGAAAGCAUGGGGAGCAAACAGGAUUAGAUA